AAAUGGAGAAAAAUGGGUAGUAUUUAUAGGGCAUGGCCGGUUCCCUUUGGAGAAAAGGUGGCCGGCCUUUGGGAUGCUUUUUGUGUGCAUUUUGUGGUUUAAUGUGUGAGUUAUUUGGCAAUUAAUGGAUUAAUUAGGUAAUUAAUCCAUUAAUUAGCCAAUUAAAACAUUUUUGGAAUGAAUAUUUUGGAGGUUAUGUAAUUUAUGUUGAAAGUUUUGAAGGUUAUGGAAUGAUUUCCUUGUAGAGGAUAUGAAGUAAAGAUGGAUGAGAUAAAUUUGAACUUGUUACCUAUUUUGGGCACUCUUGACUCGGUUGAUGGAUGAUUCCCCACUGCUCGCGUGUAGGAAACCUGGCAGAAAAAGGAAGAUGCUCACUGUACUUCGGAUAAUUAUGAACUAAGAGCAGGGCAAUGGCAGGAACUGGACCUUCCGUUGAAUACAUCUUCUUGGAGCAAGGAGGACCUCAAAAACCCUGAAAAAUUCUAUGAAAUGACCGUUCUUCUAAAUGCUCAAAGAGAAUUAGGUGACAAAAUUUUGGAUGCGCAGUGGGAGACUAGAUGGCGUCAAGAAAUGUUGAAUGAGAUGUUGGAGGAAGGUACGACCGUACAUGCAGAAUAUUGACGGUGGGACGACCCUCUCCCAGCCCAUUAUAUUACAAUCACCAGAUCAGAAUCAGAAGAGGACCCGACAAUGGAGAUGGUGGUUCUUUUGAUGAUAUUUCAGCCAUUUUUGUACCCGGAAAGCACCACAGAUCGCCUCUUGUUCUUUUCAUUUUGUAUGAUUUUGUCGCUACACUGCCCUCUUUAUUAGUUUAUUUCCCUUGUAACUCUCAGCUUAAUCUAUUCCUUUUUUGAGGCUAUUGGGAGACCGAUUGAUGUAAAUGAGGAGCAAAUGACUAGCGUAGCCUAUUGUCAUAUUGACGGUGCAUCCCGAAAUUUAUAAGCCUUUUAUCUAUGAUGAGCAAAGUUCAGUGUA